rnacentral:rRNA from 1 species
CGCGGGAUUGAGUUUGAUCAUGGCUCAGAUUGAACGCUGACGGCAGGCCUAACACAUGCAAGUCGAGCGGUAACAGAAAAGAAGCUUGCUUCUUUUGCUGACGAGCGGCGGACGGGUGAGUAAUGCCUGGGAAUAUACCCUGAUGUGGGGGAUAACUAUUGGAAACGAUAGCUAAUACCGCAUAAUCUCUUCGGAGCAAAGAGGGGGACCUUCGGGCCUCUCGCGUCAGGAUUAGCCCAGGUGGGAUUAGCUAGUUGGUGAGGUAAUGGCUCACCAAGGCGACGAUCCCUAGCUGGUCUGAGAGGAUGAUCAGCCACACUGGAACUGAGACACGGUCCAGACUCCUACGGGAGGCAGCAGUGGGGAAUAUUGCACAAUGGGGGAAACCCUGAUGCAGCCAUGCCGCGUGUAUGAAGAAGGCCUUCGGGUUGUAAAGUACUUUCAGUUGUGAGGAAGGCAGUUAAGUUAAUAGCUUGGCUGUUUGACGUUAGCAACAGAAGAAGCACCGGCUAACUCCGUGCCAGCAGCCGCGGUAAUACGGAGGGUGCGAGCGUUAAUCGGAAUUACUGGGCGUAAAGCGCAUGCAGGCGGUCUGUUAAGCAAGAUGUGAAAGCCCGGGGCUCAACCUCGGAACAGCAUUUUGAACUGGCAGACUAGAGUCCUGUAGAGGGGGGUAGAAUUUCA